rnacentral:rRNA from 1 species
GACGAACGCUGGCGGCGUGCCUAAUACAUGCAAGUCGAACGCUUCUUUCCUCCCGAGUGCUUGCACUCAAUUGGAAAGAGGAGUGGCGGACGGGUGAGUAACACGUGGGUAACCUACCCAUCAGAGGGGGAUAACACUUGGAAACAGGUGCUAAUACCGCAUAACAGUUUAUGCCGCAUGGCAUAAGAGUGAAAGGCGCUUUCGGGUGUCGCUGAGGGAUGGACCCGCGGUGCAUUAGCUAGUUGGUGAGGUAACGGCUCACCAAGGCCACGAUGCAUAGCCGACCUGAGAGGGUGAUCGGCCACACUGGGACUGAGACACGGCCCAGACUCCUACGGGAGGCAGCAGUAGGGAAUCUUCGGCAAUGGACGAAAGUCUGACCGAGCAACGCCGCGUGAGUGAAGAAGGUUUUCGGAUCGUAAAACUCUGUUGUUAGAGAAGAACAAGGACGUUAGUAACUGAACGUCCCCUGACGGUAUCUAACCAGAAAGCCACGGCUAACUACGUG